rnacentral:lncRNA from 1 species
CUGGACUCAAACUUGUAAUCUACUUGCCUCAGCCUCCCAGAGUCCUGGGAUUAUAGGUGUGCGCUAACACUUCUGGCAUUUAUUUAUUUAGUAAUGGGGAUUGAACCCAGGUCUGUCACACUGGGCUACAACCCCAGCCCUUUUUAAAAUUUUGAGACAGGGUCUUGCUAAGUCCCUAGGAUGCCCAGGCUGGGAUUGAACUUGCAGUUUUUCUGCCUUAGCCUCCUACAGUGCUGAGAUUUCAGCCUUGCAGCAUUACCUCUAGCUUGUUUUUAAAUAGUAGCCAUCUGAAUGGGUAUGAGAUGGUAUCUAGUUUCUUAGCAUUGAGUUAUUUUAAAGCAAUUUCCAGACAUCAUCUAAUUUUAUCAUGACUGGUGUCUCAUUUUGUGACAAGGGUGGUUUCCUGUUGUUAAGAAAGAGUCCCUGGAAGACAUUCUAUGCAGAUUUAAAGUCUGAAAGUGCUAGAGUCAUUUGAGGAUGAAGCCAACUCUGAGGGGACAAAGUCAGGGGAACUGCAGACAAGUGAAGCAGGAGGCCUGCCUGAACCAUACCCGAUCAGUGCCUUACCUUUCAGCUGAACAAUCACUGGAUUAAAACCUGUGGAGAAAUCAGUAGAAAGUGUUUGGGGAAGAGUCUUGCAAGGAACCCAAAGCUGCUCCUGUGGAAGCUUGAUGUCUCCCUCAAGAAAGAAGCUCCUCCCCUGGGUCCCUCUGAGUUUCAUCCAGACAAAGUGAAAGGUUUGCCUCCUGCAGAGGUCAGUGUCUUAGGAGCCAGGAAGCAGUGCACACCUGGUGGUGCCCUGCAGCAGAUGUGGGGACUUUUCCUUCUUUACGUUUCAGUGAUGGUGGGAGGUAAGUCUCAACUGAAUAGCAAACGCUACUGGGAAUUUUCAAAAUAAUUUGCUUCCAGCUAAAUGAUCACAACUUCUAACUUUUGUGACCAAAAAGUCUUUCCUAGUAGAUUUUGCUCUUGAGGUGCCAACCACUUUGUUUCUAUCUAAGC